rnacentral:rRNA from 1 species
CCAGACUCCUACGGGAGGCAGCAGUAGGGAAUCUUUCACAAUGGGCGAAAGCCUGAUGGAGCAACGCCGCGUGCAGGAUGAAGGCCUUCGGGUUGUAAACUGCCUUUAUAAGCGAGAAAUAUGAUGGUAACUUAUGAAUAAGGAUCGGCUAACUACGUGCCAGCAGCCGCGGUAAUACGUAGGGGGCAAGCGUUAUCCGGAUUUACUGGGUGUAAAGGGAGCGUAGACGGCUGUGCAAGUCUGAAGUGAAAGCCCAGGGCUCAACCCUGGGACUGCUUUGGAAACUGUGGAGCUAGAGUGCUGGAGAGGUAAGUGGAAUUCCUAGUGUAGCGGUGAAAUGCGUAGAUAUUAGGAGGAACACCAGUGGCGAAGGCGGCUUACUGGACAGUAACUGACGUUGAGGCUCGAAAGCGUGGGGAGCAAACAGGAUUAGAUACCCCGGUAU